GUAGGUGGCAAGCGUUGUCCGGAAUUAUUGGGCGUAAAGCGCGCGCAGGCGGUUCUUUAAGUCUGAUGUGAAAGCCCACGGCUCAACCGUGGAGGGUCAUUGGAAAUUGGAGAACUUGAGUACAGAAGAGGAAAGCGGAAUUCCACGUGUAGCGGUGAAAUGCGUAGAGAUGUGGAGGAACACCAGUGGCGAAGGCGGCUUUCUGGUCUGUAACUGACGCUGAGGCGCGAAAGCGUGGGGAGCAAACAGGAUUAGAUACCCUGGUAGUCCACGCCGUAAACGAUGAGUGCUAAGUGUUAGGGGGUUUCCGCCCCCCUUAGUGCUGCAGCUAACGCAUUAAGCACUCCGCCUGGGAGUACGGCCGCAAGGCUG
rnacentral:rRNA from 1 species